rnacentral:rRNA from 1 species
GACGGACCAUCCAAACGUUAUUCGGAAUUACUGGGCUUAAAGGGUGCGUAGGCGGCGCGGAUAGUUGGGUGUGAAAUCCCUCGGCUCAACCGAGGAACUGCGCCCAAAACUGCCGUGCUCGAGGAAGAUAGAGGUAAGCGGAACUUACGGUGGAGCGGUGAAAUGCGUUGAUAUCGUAAGGAACACCUGUGGCGAAAGCGGCUUACUGGGUCUUUUCUGACGCUGAUGCACGAAAGCUAGGGGAGCAAACGGG